rnacentral:rRNA from 1 species
GUCCACACCGUAAACGAUGGAUACUAGGUGUCCGGGACUUCGGUCCUGGGUGCCCAAGGGAAACCGAUAAGUAUCCCACCUGGGGAGUACGUCCGCAAGGAUGAAACUCAAAGGAAUUGACGGGGGCCCGCACAAGCGGUGGAGCAUGUGGUUUAAUUCGAUGAUACGCGAGAAACCUUACCUGGGCUAGAAUGCCCCUGACAGGCCGUGAAAGCGGUUUUUCCUUCGGGACAGGGUGCAAGGUGCUGCAUGGUUGUCGU